UCUGAUCUCAGAUCAAGCAAGAAGACCCGCCGAAUUUAAGCAUAUAAUUAAGCGGAGGAAAAGAAACUAACCAGGAUUCCCCUAGUAAGGGCGACUGAAGCGGGAAUAGCUCACGAUGUGAAUCAGCGCUGCUUUGUGGCGCCGAAUUGUGGUCUGAAAACGUUUGCAUUACUGGCGGGGCCAAGUCCCUUGGAACAGGGCAGCCGAGAGGGUGAGACUCCCGUGUGCCCUGCCUCUGGAGCGAGCGUUUGACGAGUCGAGUUGUUUGGG
rnacentral:rRNA from 1 species